AGAGUUUGAUCAUGGCUCAGAGCGAACGCUGGCGGCAGGCUUAACACAUGCAAGUCGAGCGGGCGUAGCAAUACGUCAGCGGCAGACGGGUGAGUAACGCGUGGGAACGUACCUUUUGGUUCGGAACAACCCAGGGAAACUUGGGCUAAUACCGGAUAAGCCCUUACGGGGAAAGAUUUAUCGCCGAAAGAUCGGCCCGCGUCUGAUUAGCUAGUUGGUGAGGUAACGGCUCACCAAGGCGACGAUCAGUAGCUGGUCUGAGAGGAUGAUCAGCCACAUUGGGACUGAGACACGGCCCAAACUCCUACGGGAGGCAGCAGUGGGGAAUAUUGGACAAUGGGCGCAAGCCUGAUCCAGCCAUGCCGCGUGAGUGAUGAAGGCCCUAGGGUUGUAAAGCUCUUUUGUGCGGGAAGAUAAUGACGGUACCGCAAGAAUAAGCCCCGGCUAACUUCGUGCCAGCAGCCGCGGUAAUACGAAGGGGGCUAGCGUUGCUCGGAAUCACUGGGCGUAAAGGGUGCGUAGGCGGGUCUUUAAGUCAGGGGCGAAAUCCUGGAGCUCAACUCCAGAACUGCCCUUGAUACUGAGGAUCUUGAGUUCGGGAGAGGUGAGUGGAACUGCGAGUGUAGAGGUGAAAUUCGUAGAUAUUCGCAAGAACACCAGUGGCGAAGGCGGCUCACUGGCCCGAUACUGACGCUGAGGCACGAAAGCGUGGGGAGCAAACAGGAUUAGAUACCCUAGUAGUCC
rnacentral:rRNA from 1 species